UUAAAUUGAAGAUGUAAGUCGCUCUGGGUAAGAGCGUCUGCUAAAUGACUUAAA
rfam:Salmo salar isolate Sally breed double haploid chromosome ssa10, whole genome shotgun sequence.